CUCAAAGGAAUUGACGGGUCCCCGCACAAGCAGCGGAGCGUGUGGUUUAAUUCGUUGCUACACGAAGAACCUUACCUGGGUUUGACAUAGCAGUGGUAGGGAGAGAAAUCGGACCGACCCUUCGGGGAGCUGUUACAGGUGUUGCAUGGCUGUCGUCAGCUCGUGUCGUGAGAUGUUCGGUUAAGUCCGCUAACGAGCGCAACCCGCGUUGUGUGUUAUAUGUGUCACACAAUACCGCCGGUAUUAAGCCGGAGGAAGGUGCGGAUGACGUCAAGUCAGCAUGACCUUUAUAUCCAGGGCUACACACACGCUACAAUGGUCAGUACAAUGGGUUGCCAAGCCGCGAGGCGGAGCCAAUCCUAAAAAGCUGGCCUCAGUUCAGAUUGCAGUCUGAAACUCGACUGCAUGAAGUCGGAGUUGCUAGUAAACGCAGGUCAGCUAUACUGCGUUGAAUACGUUCCCGGGGCUU
rnacentral:rRNA from 1 species